rnacentral:lncRNA from 1 species
GUCACUGCAGCAAGCAGGUUAUCACCCAGGCCGUCAUCACAGAAAUCAAGUAUGUGAGCAGCUAUGGGGCUUGAGAUCCCCUCUUUUGUUUCUUUUCAUUAUGAACAAAUAUACGAAAUAUUGUUCUAUUGUAUGCUAGAUUGCUAGUUGAUUUGCUGGUUGCUGUUAUAGUGUGCUCUCAAUUUUCAAGCAUAUGUUAAAUUGAUGCAUGAUUUUUUGUUUAUUUUUUCUUCCCAUGUAGGUGAUCUUUAUUCAUCUCUAGCCCAUGCUUGCGUGUGCUGUGGUCAUAUGAGCACGAAAUCAACAAGUGUGUGUGUGUGUGUUGGAAAGGUCUUGUGCACAUUAGGAGAUCAUGCACAUGUUUAGUUCUUUUCUCCGUGAUGAGCCACCGUCGACGAGCUCCU